rnacentral:rRNA from 1 species
GAUGAACGCUGGCGGCGUGCCUAAUACAUGCAAGUCGAGCGAACAGACGAGGAGCUUGCUCCUCUGACGUUAGCGGCGGACGGGUGAGUAACACGUGGAUAACCUACCUAUAAGACUGGGAUAACUUCGGGAAACCGGAGCUAAUACCGGGUAAUAUAUUGAACCGCAUGGGUCAAUAGUGAAAGACGGGUUUGCUGUCACUUAUAGAUGGAUCCGCGCCGCAUUAGCUAGUUGGUAAGGUAACGGCUUACCAAGGCAACGAUGCGUAGCCGACCUGAGAGGGUGAUCGGCCACACUGGAACUGAGACACGGUCCAGACUCCUACGGGAGGCAGCAGUAGGGAAUCUUCCGCAAUGGGCGAAAGCUUGACGGAGCAACGCCGCGUGAGUGAUGAAGGUCUUCGGAUCGUAAAACUCUGUUAUUAGGGAAGAACAAAUGUGUAAGUAACUAUGCACGUCUUGACGGUACCUAAUCAGAAAGCCACGGCUAACUACGUG